rnacentral:rRNA from 1 species
UACGUAGGGGGCAAGCGUUGUCCGGAAUCAUUGGGCGUAAAGCGCGCGUAGGCGGCCAGACAAGUCCGGUGUGAAAGGUCACAGGCUCAACCUGUGAAUGCCGCUGGAAACUGUCGUGGCUAGAGUCCGGAAGGGGCGAGUGGAAAUUCCUGGGUGUAGCGGUGAAAUGCGCAGAUAUCAGGAGGAACACCGAGUUGCGAAGGCAGCUCGCUGGGACGUCACUGACGCUGGAGA